GUAGGGAUCUCCUUCCGAAAAGAAAAAUAUUUCUUCUUUGAAAUGAGCGUUUUGGCGGCGGACAUAUCGAAGCAUACGGGACAUUACUGCCGCCUAUUGGACUGGAGUGUGAGAAAGCGAGCAGUGCCGAAUGUGCAUUUAUACAGUUAAUACGGAUAUUUCCCCAAAAUGUGUAUAAGAUAUUGAUAAAAAUAAUUUGUACAACAGGUUAAUCUUUUAAAUUUCGUUGUUAGAACGAAUUCAGCACUGGAAUGUGACUGUUAUGUAGUUGCUUGGACUUUAUUUCUCUCUCAAACACUCAUGGAAACAGCUUAAAUCUCUUUUAGAUGAAACAUUGACCAACAGGGCCAUUUCAACAUGGAAAGUAUGGCGUGCUUGAACAUGAUGUAGGGCCAUCCUUUAUCGACCGCACGUGCAGCAGCUCAUGAUUCAGGUUCCAGUUACUGGUAGCCAUUACACUCAAUUGUGCUUUCAUUUGCAGCAGUUCUUGCCAAGGUUAGAAACUAUACACAGACAGAGCUAUCUUCAGGACCGCUCUUUCCAUAUGGGAUGCCUCUGACAGCAGUUUGGUGCUCAAAAAAUUAUUGCACAUCAUUAUUAUUAUUAUUAUUCUUGAAUAUACAAUUUCUUUUUUGUAUGUGCAGUGAGUCCAACUAAAUAAGCAUCUUUAAGGCUUUGUUCUGAUCUGAUGUUUUUAAAGUAUGGUGGUGGUUAUAUAUGAUGCAUGAAAAAUACCAUUACUUAUAUCAGAAUAAGUUUAGUUUGACUUGUAUCUCUCAUUCCCAAUUUGGAACACGGUGGCGUGAAGAGGCUGAAGCCGGGUCAGAGGAAAUGCGAACUCACACUGGGCCCAAACAUAGCACACAAUAAUCUCUCUCUGUCCAAGGACAACAGGAGACAGAGGUAUUGGAGAAGCUUCCUUACCCUGACCAUCUACAGCGAUUUUGCCACUGGAAACUGGUUUUGUGUAGAGAAGGUUUGACUGAGUGCAAAGGAUGGGUUAAUGUUGGAGUGGCACGCAGAGCCAUCAGAAGGAAAGGCCAGGAUGACGACUGCUGGAUCGGACAGAAUGACAAGUCCUGGGGUCUGUUAUGUUGUGAUAAGUUCUCUGCUUGUCACAAAAACCGAAGGGUAGUCAUACCCGUCCAGUCACGCUUUGACGCAGGCAGAGUAGCAGUGUAUCUGGACUGGCCUGCUGGCAUUCUGUCCUUCUACAAAGUGUCAUCCGACACACCGAUCCACCUCCACAGCUUCCACUGCACAGUCACUGAACCUCUCUAUCCUGCGUUUGGGAUUGAGUUAAAGUGUCAAUCAUCAGUUUCUCUGUGUCAGUUAAUAUCGGGAUGCUUUAACAGAACAGGACCACUGUUGAUGUUGUUAGUAAUUUCUGUGAUUUCCUACUAUGACAAUAAAACUUUGAAGAGGGUCUGCAACUGUUCACAGUCUUGUUUAAGUUCUCAAAGUCAAAUUCUACUUUUAACUGUUUUGGCACCGGCAUAUUUCUAAUAGUAAUGUACUAAAUUAAGAUAAGAUGAACUUUAUUGAUCCCACAGUGGGGAAAUUCACUUGCUGUGGCAGCUCACAAUUAAAUUAAAAGACACCUAAUAGUCUAAAAGCACCCAAAAUCAGUUUAAAUAGCGGUGACUAAAGCCAUGUUCAAUAGCAAUGAGCAAAAAAAGGAAAAAAAAAAAGCAAUUUCUAAAUAAAUUCAUCUGGUCACUGUUUGGUUUACAAAGGAAUUUUGGUUUUGAGUCAGCUCUCUAGCAGAGCUAUGAAACCUGCUGGAGAGACAACAAAAACCAGGCCACAUUUGUCAUGCCAAAGCAAAUGGAUUUUAUUUACACAUCUAGUUUGGAUAAGAUGGCCACCCAUAGUUCCAUGUGCAGUACACAGGUAAAAGAAAGUGAACACGUGAGUUGUGACAAACAUUAUGCUUAAUAUUAUUACUCCAGGUAUAUACUUUGGCUCUGACACUUUCAAGUGUGCUAUAUAUUAUUGACUGCAUAUUAUAAUCUACAACACAUACUUUAUUUCCUUAUGUCAAAACUCUGAAAAGAGACUUUUUUUUAAAUAACUGGAAUGACUUGCACAUAAAUAGUAACUAGAUUCUGUACAACAUUUACAAUGUAUGAAAUCACAAAAACUGUGUCAUAAAGUAAAAUAUAAAAAAAUGUAAAAAAGAAAAAAAGAAAAAAGAAAAACCUCACAAUGGCAACAGUGGACAAAAUCAUAGCAGAGUGCUUAAGUAAUAUUUUUCAUACCUCGUAUGUAAAUCCACAAAACCUGUGUAAGAUCAAGCAGAUAAACUAUGAUUAAAAUCACUAGGUGAACAAUUUGUGCAAUGAAGCAAAACCUUUGUUAGUAACUUAAUACAGUGCUCACAAUACUGCUCUCCUCAUUCUGACACACCACUCCGGUGCGUUCUUAUGUAGGUCACACUGUGGGCGUACGUAUGUGAGACAAAAUAUUAGGCUAAGUAUAUAUUUAGGUUAAAUUAUAUGAAGGUACACUAAUUUACAACAUAGGUAGAAUAAAGUGACUCCCACAGACA